rnacentral:rRNA from 1 species
UGCGUAGGCGGGGCAAUUAGUCAGUGGUGAAAUCCUGCGGCUUAACCGUAGAACUGCCAUUGAUACUGUUGCUCUUGAGUAUAGUUGAGGUGGGCGGAAUGUGUAGUGUAGCGGUGAAAUGCAUAGAUAUUACACAGAACACCAAUUGCGAAGGCAGCUCACUAAGCUAUAACUGACGCUGAGGCACGAAAGCGUGGGGAGCGAACAGGAUUAGAUACCCUGGUAGUCC